CUAUAAUUGGUCCUGCAAGGAGCUGUGGAGAAACCCAACCCUGCGAUAAAGGCUGUACCUUAGGACUUUGGAAAUACAGGAUUUAGGCACCUGCUGUCCCAGACUGUGCCUGACUAUCAACAAGCAGCUUGGCCACGAUGCACAGAUCCCAGAGGUUUCACACAGCAGAUCACCCUGCUGCCCUUUGCAACAAGCUCCCAUCACUGCGCUGAGCACUGGCCACCUACAAGAUCUGGACAAUUCCCCCUGUCAGACAGGGAUGCUCAGUGUGUCCCACUGAUGCUGCCAGGGUGGUGUUGGGGUAAGAAAACUGUAGAGUGACCCAGGAUGGACUGGCAGACUGCAGACACAGAGGGACAUCUGUCCUUUCAG
rnacentral:lncRNA from 1 species